rnacentral:rRNA from 1 species
CCUACGGGUGGCUGCAGUGGGGAAUAUUGCGCAAUGGGGGAAACCCUGACGCAGCAACGCCGCGUGAGUGAGGAAGUAUCUAGGUAUGUAAAGCUCUAUCAGCGGGGAAGAAGGAAGACGGUACCCGACUAAGAAGCACCGGCUAACUACGUGACAGCAGCCGCGGUAAUACGUAGGGGGCGAGCGUUAUCCGGAUUUACUGGGUGUAAAGGGAGCUGAGACGGCGGCGCAAGUCUGAAGUGAAAGCCCGUGGCUCAACCGCGGAACCGCUUUGGAAAAUGCGAGGCUGGAGUGCUGGAGAGGUAAGCGGCAUUCCUGGUGGAGCGGUGAAAUGCGUAGAGAUCAGGAGGAACACCGGUGGCGAAGGCGGCUUACUGGACAGUGACUGACGUUGAGGCUCGAAAGCGUGGGGAGCGAACAGGAUUAGAUACCCGAGUAGUC